rnacentral:rRNA from 1 species
AGGGUUCGAUUCUGGCUCAGGAUGAACGCUAGCGACAGGCUAACACAUGCAAGUCGAGGGGCGGCAUAAAAGUAGCAAUACUUGGUGGCGACCGGCGCACGGGUGAGUAACGCGUAUGCAACCUACCUAUCAGAGGGGAAUAACCCGGCGAAAGUCGGACUAAUACCGCAUAAAACAGGGACACCGCAUGGUGAUAUUUGUUAAAGAAAUUCGCUGAUAGAUGGGCAUGCGUUCCAUUAGGUAGUUGGUGAGGUAACGGCUCACCAAGCCGACGAUGGAUAGGGGAACUGAGAGGUUGGUCCCCCACACUGGUACUGAGACACGGACCAGACUCCUACGGGAGGCAGCAGUGAGGAAUAUUGGUCAAUGGGCGAGAGCCUGAACCAGCCAAGUCGCGUGAAGGAAAAGAAGGAUCUAUGGUUCGUAAACUUCUUUUGCAGGGGAAUAAAGUGCAGGACGUGUCCUGUUUUGUAUGUACCCUGAGAAUAAGGAUCGGCUAACUCCGUGCCAGCAGCAGC